AGAGUUUGAUCCUGGCUCAGGAACGCUGGCGGCACGCCUAACACAUGCAAGUCGAGCGGUAACAGCUCCGUACACUAAAUUGCUUUGAAGGGUGAAGUUUUCGAAAGAGAGGGUUCGAGGACGGCACAUGCGAAGCGCACAGUGAUGGAUUUUUCAGCGAGGCAUCGUCGAGAGAGCGACCGGAGUGUACACAAAAGUACAUGAGGAUCGCGAACGAGACGAUAACGAAGCUGAAAAAGUCAGCACGAAGCGCCAAGAGCAAUGUAGGUACGGAGGCUGACGAGCGGCGGACGGGUGAGGAAGACGUAGGAACUUGCCUAUCAGAGGGGGACAACCAAGGGAAACUUUGGCUAAUACCGCAUACACUCGCGAGAGGAAAGUUGCCCGCAAGGGUGAUACUGAUAGAGAGGCCUGCGUCCGAUUAGCUAGUUGGUGAGGUAAGAGCUUACCAAGGCGAUGAUCGGUAACUGGUCUGAGAGGACGACCAGUCACACUGGGACUGAGACACGGCCCAGACUCCUACGGGAGGCAGCAGUGGGGAAUCUUGGACAAUGGGGGCAACCCUGAUCCAGCGAUGCCGCGUGGGUGAAGAAGGCCUUCGGGUUGUAAAGCCCUUUAGGUUGGGACGAAGGUUGCGAGAGGAUAAUUCUCGUAGCUUGACGGUACUAACAGAAUAAGCACCGGCAAACUCUGUGCCAGCAGCCGCGGUAAUACAGAGGGUGCGAGCGUUAAUCGGAAUUACUGGGCGUAAAGGGCGCGUAGGCGGUGGAUUGGGUGUGAUGUGAAAGCCCUGGGCUUAACCUGGGAAGUGCAUCGCAAACUGAUUGACUGGAGUAGAUGAGAGGGUGGCGGAAUUUCUGGUGUAGCGGUGAAAUGCGUAGAGAUCGGAAGGAACGUCAAUGGCGAAGGCAGCCACCUGGCAUCAUACUGACGCUGAGGCGCGAAAGCGUGGGGACAAACAGGAUUAGAUACCCUAGUAGUCC
rnacentral:rRNA from 1 species